AUUGAACUCUGGCGGCAGGCCUAACACAUGCAAGUCGAGCGAGGGGCGGACGGGUGAGUAAUGUAUGGGGACUGCACGAUAGAGGGGGAUAAAUACUGUAACCGGUGGCUAAUACCGCAUACUAUCAGAUAACCCACAUGGGAUUAGCUAGUAGGUGGGGUCAAGGCUCACCUAGGCGACGAUCUCUAGCUGGUCUUAGAGGCUGUUCAGCCACACGGUGACUGAGACACGGCCCAGACUCCUACGGAGGCAGCAGUGGGUAAUAUUGCACAAUGGGCGCAAGCCUGAUGCAGCCAUGCCGCGUGUAUGAAGGAGGCCUUAGGGUUGUAAUGUACUUUCAGCGUGGAGGCGUUACUCGCAUAAGAAGCACCGGCUAACUCCGUGCCAGCAGCCGCGGUAAUUC
rnacentral:rRNA from 1 species